GAACCUGCGGAAGGAUCAUUACAGUUAUUAAUUCUUUGCCAGCGCUUAAUUGCGCGGCGGGAACUAAUCCUUACACACUGUGUUUUUUGUUAUUACAAGAACUAUUGCUUUGGCUUGGCCUUCGGGUUGGGCCAGAGACUUGAAUAAACUUCAAUUUUUUAUUGAAUUGUUUUUUAAAUUAUUGUCAAUUUGUUUGAUUAAAUUCAAAAUAAUCUUCAAAACUUUCAACAACGGAUCUCUUGGUUCUCGCAUCGAUGAAGAACGCAGCGAAAUGCGAUAAGUAAUAUGAAUUGCAGAUUUUCGUGAAUCAUCGAAUCUUUGAACGCACAUUGCGCCCUUUGGUAUUCCAAGGGGCAUGCCUGUUUGAGCGUCAUUUCUCUCUCAAACCUUUGGGUUUGGUAUUGAGUGAUACUCUUAGUCAGACUAGGCGUUUGCUUGAAAUGUAUCGGCAUGAGUGCGCUAGAUAGUGCUUUCUGAUUAUUCAAUGUAUUAGGUUUAUCCAACUCGUUGAAGGAUCAGGUGUAAAUUUCUGGUGGCAAUUGCUCGGCCUUACAACGACAAA
rnacentral:rRNA from 1 species